rnacentral:ribozyme from 13 species
AUUGAAACAUCGAACCAAAAUAACUAAUGGCCUAUUCUUCGAAUCUACAGUAACAUAUCCUCAUUUGUCUCAUUUACCUUUUCCUUUCCUUUUCCCUUCUUCUCAUUUCUCUCCCUUUCAUACUUUUUCAUAUUCACGUAAACACCGCCACCGACAAGUGCUACAAAGAGCACACCAAAAAAGAAAAAACUCCACAAAAUAGUUUGUUUCUCCUCAGUAUCUAGGGCGCCUUUGAGAAGUAACGCGAAAAAUCCUAUCAGAAAAGAAUAAAAUAAAACGU